GAAGAAGAUACUAAGGGCGCACGGCGGAUGCCUUGGCACAGGAAGUCGAAGAAGGACGCGGCAAGCUGCGAUAAGCUCCGGGGAGGCGCAAACGGCCUUCGAUCCGGAGAUCUCCGAAUGGGGGAACCCAGCAGGGGUCAUGCCCUGCUACCCGCGCCUGAAUGAAAUAGGGCGCGAGGAGGCAACCCGGGGAACUGAAACAUCUAAGUACCCGGAGGAAGAGAAAUCAACCGAGAUUGCGGGAGUAGCGGCGAGCGAAACCGCACCAGCCCAAACCCAUGCACGUGCAAGCUUGAGGGCGUUGCUGCAUGAGGGGUUGUGGGACCGCGCAUUCCAUGGGCCUCAGACCAUGGACGCAGUUACAAAUCCGCGCGGAAGCGGAACGGCCUGGGAAGGCCGGCGGAACAGGGUGAGAGCCCCGUACGCGAAUCCGCGCGGACUGCGAGUGCGGCGCCCGAGUAGCGCCGGGCACGUGAAACCCGGUGCGAACCUGGGGGGACCACCCUCCAAGGCUGAACACUCUCCUGUGACCGAUAGCGAACCAGUACCGUGAGGGAAAGGUGAAAAGCACCCCGAGAGGGGAGUGAAACAGUACCUGAAACCGUGCGCCUACAAGCAGUCGGAGCCCCCGAGCGGGGUGACGGCGUGCCUUUUGUAGAAUGAGCCAGCGAGUUGCGGUAUGCGGCGAGGUUAAGGUUUGAACCGAGCCGCAGUGAAAGCGAGCCUUUAAGAUGGCGUAUGAGUCGCAUGCUGCAGACGCGAAGCCGGGUGAGCUAUCCAUGGGCAGGCUGAAGCGGGGGUAAGACCCCGUGGAGGGCCGAACCCACUUCGGUUGAAAACGGAGGGGAUGACCCGUGGAUAGGGGUGAAAGGCCAAUCAAACCCGGAGAUAUCUCGUUCUCCCCGAAAUAGCUUUAGGGCUAGCCUCGGCCGUUCUCCGACGGCGGUAGAGCACUGGAUCGUCGAGGGGGCUUCACCGCCUACCGACACGAACCAAACUCCGAAUGCCGCCGGAUCAGAGGCCGGGAGUCAGAACAUGUGGGCUAAGCUGUGUGUUCGAGAGGGAAACAGCCCAGACCGCCCGCUAAGGUCCCCAAGUUUAUGCUGAGUGGCAAAGGAUGUGCGUUUGCCUAGACAACCAGGAUGUUGGCUUAGAAGCAGCCAUGCAUUUAAAGAGUGCGUAACAGCUCACUGGUCAAGUGGACAUGCGCCGACAAUUCACGGGGCUAAGCAUAACACCGAAGCGGCGGACUAAUCUAUAUUAGUGGUAGGGGAGCUUUCCCCGCAGCGGAGAAGCCGAGAGGGCGACCCUCGGUGGAGCGCGGGGAAGUGAGAAUGCUGGCAUGAGUAACGAGAGCGGCGCGAGAAACGCCGCCGCCGUAAGCCUAAGGGUUCCUGGGCAAGGCUAAUCCUCCCAGGGUCAGUCGGGAGCUAAGGCGAGGCCGAGAGGCGUAGCCGAUGCGCAACAGGCGGACAUUCCUGUACCGCCUGCGGACCGCUAUCACCGACGGGGUGACGGAGAAGGGUAGCCGAGCGGGGUUCUGGACGUCCCCGUGAAAGCGCGUAGGG
rnacentral:rRNA from 1 species